ACAGACUAUGCACAUCGAAUGGAGCGGAGAGAAAGAGAGACUUGCUCACUGCAUGAAACGUGCCGGCAUUUGACAUAUUGACAAAUCCAAUGCGUUUUGAGUUGAAUUUAUUGAGAGGAAAAAAAUGGCAGACACAGAGUUGGCGAAGGCGUUGCGAGAUCUUCCGAAUCGUAUACUAAAUGUGAAUGUUGAUGAACGUCCCGAGCUAUUUCAAAAUAUAACCAAUGUGUUAACGAAUCCAGGAAUCAAUGCAACGAUUAUACGUGGCAUUUGUAAAGUGAUUGGUACGACGUUAACCAAAUACAAGGAUCCAAAAUCGCAGGCAUUAGUGAAGGAUUUGAUAGCUGCAUUGUCGACGCAUCAUUCGGAUUUAACAUUUGAACACUUCAACAAUGUAUUAAAAACGAUUGUGUCCAAAGAUUUGGCGAGCUUAUCGGCAUUGAAGAGUUCACAAGGUGCUGUUAUCGCAUUGGGAUGGUCAAUUACGCUUGGAUCAAGUGUCGACCGUAGCACAGAUGUUGGCAAAUCCGAAUUUAAGAAAUUAAUCGAACAUCAAGCCGCUCUCUACCAACUUGGCAUUUCCGGUGGCAAUGAACGUGUGUCAGACCGUGCCAAUCAAUUGAUCACGGCAUUUUGGACGCAACACAAUGACAUUGAAUUGGAGUAUUUCAACCGAUUAAUAUCACUUGAGCCGGCCAGCAGUGUGAUUGUACUUUUAGCAGCCAUCAUUCGAUAUCGAUUGUACAAAAAUGCAUCGGAUGACCUACUGCAGCAAAACAAAGACAAAUUACUGGAACAUUUCAUUAAAGGUUUGGUCACCGUCAAAGUGAAGCCAAAUGUUGCAUUGUUCACAUCGUGUUCGCAAUUGCUGAAGGCAUUGAGCGCCGAUGAAUUCAAGAAAACCAUUCUUCCUGCACUGCAACGAGCCAUGCUAAGAAGUCCAGAAGUGAUUUUGCAGGGUGUCGGCGCAAUUAUCCAUGAGAUUAACAUCGAUUGUAGUGAUUUUGCCUUUGAUUUGGGCAAAACACUCAUCACAAACCUUUACUCAAAGGACGAUUCGGCACGCGUCGAAGCGGUGGAAUCACUGAAAGAGAUUGCAAUCAAAUGUAGCGAUACAAAGGCAAUUGAAGCAUUGGGCAAACAAGUGUUUGCUGUAUUAAAUGGAUGCGAUGGUAAAAUCACCGUCGCAGAAUUCAGAAUCAAUAUUUUGCAGGGCGCUGGUAAUUUAAGCUACAAUAAUAUUCCAAAGGCUGAAUUAACCAACGUACUUACACUCAUCACCGAUAACUUUAUCAAAGUGUUGGAAACGGAGAUUCAUGAGAAAGUAUUGUGUCACGCACUGGAAAUGUUCAGUUUGUGGGCGGUGAAUUAUUCGGGUGAACUGCAGAAAAAAAUCACCGACAUUUUCAAGAAGGGCAUCGAAUUGAAGUCGGCCACACAAGCGGUGCGCGUAUCAUAUUUGCAAUGGUUGCUCGCGUGCUUAGAACAAGCAACACUUCCAGCCGGUAUCAAUAUGUCCGAUGCAUUGGUCAAAACGGUGGAGAAAGCAUCGCAAAAUUCUUCUCAAAUCCCGUUGGUAUCGGAGGCACUUUGCUCUGCCUGCAUCGUUCUCAAGACUGACGACGACCAAUCGAGCAAACUGACCAACUUCUGGAACAUCGUGUUGGAUAUGUCGAAGCAGUUGUUCGUUUCAGAAAAGUUCAUAACAUCAGCACCAGCCGAUACACUGUGCUUUGUCGCGUUAAUGAGUAAGAUUCUUCUGUCGCAGCAUUUGAAUAAAUUGCGUGGAUCACCCGAUCCAUUGUACAAAACCCUUGUGUAUGCAAUCACCUCGUCAUCGAAAAAGGUGCGCGAAUAUUCGAAUAAAUUGGUGAAAAAUUUGAUCGCAAGCAGUAAGAAUCACAUCGACAUCAUUCGAAAUUUGCUGCAACAUUUCACACAAAUCGCACAAGUAUCCAGAGUGGCCGGCGAAUCGGAAACAAUCGAAGAAGGAGUGAUACCGGUGCAGGGUUACAUCGAUGCCAUUUGGUUGCUAUGCUGUUCAAAAGAAGUCGAUGUAGCCGAUGGUCAAUCGAUUGCAUUGAGCAGUUUGAUUUGCUCUCAUCAAGCAGCCGCAUACAGCGCGCAACCAGAUUUAUGGGAGAAUAUUGUCACAAAAUUGGGACUUGAGCCAAAAUCUUUGAUUGCAAUCAACGUUAAUCGAAUCAGAUCGCUGGUCAUCGAAACGUACAAGGCAACACCAAUCUUUGAAAAUACUGUUGCAAUGCUAACAAAACUGUGCCCGCAAGUCCUGUUGCCACUGAUCAUUUCGCAAGUGUCCGAACAAUUGAGUAAUCCAGAAAUGAUUAGCGUAACUGAUACCGAGUAUUUUACCUAUUUGACACCCGACGGUGAACUGUACGAUAAAAGUGUCAUUCCAAACAGUGACGACAUUUAUCAGGAUUUAAUAAGAAAGCGCGAGAACAAGGUGUACUCGUACAAAGAGCAACUCGAAGAGAUUCAAUUGCGCCGUGAACUGGAAGAGAAGAAGCGUAAGGAGGGCACAUGGAAACCACCGCAAUUGACACCAAAACAAAAGGAGGCCAUCAAAAAUCAAACGGACAAGGAAAAGGCCAUCAAACAACGUUUGCAAGCACUGAGUGAAACACUCACAUCGCUCGUUUCGCUUAUCAAAGGUGCGCUUGCUGGCAAUGGCCAAAAUCUGCGAUUGCAUUAUGCCGAGCUGCUUCCAAAAGUUCUACAAGUGCUGAAAUCACCACUGGCCGCCGAAUCACUCACAAAACUGUACUACGAGCUUCGAACACCAUGCAUAACAAAUGAUAAUUUAGCUGAGCUUAUGAAUAAAAUCGCAAUCACAACGCUUCGUUUGCAUGAGCCACACUGUGAUUUGACGGAAGAAUGGACGUCGAAAAAUUUGGACGCAGAAAUUGUCGCAACACUCCAAUUAUUUGCCGAGAAAACGGUCAACACCGAAGACGACAAAGAUUUACUGUUGGCACCCGUGUUUUGUUAUGCAUUUGAGUUUUUGAAAAAAACCUUGUUCCACAAGGCAAUCUCCAAAAAUGAUGAACACCUUCUAAUGGCCAUUCAAAUUAUUGCAAAACAUGUACGAGUUCCCGGCGACACAACCGAUGGUGAUAUCACCGAUUAUCGUCAUCCAAAAUACUUGCCACGUUACGAGCUAUUGAAAGUGCUGUUGGACAUUGUGAGCAUUCAUCGUGGUCGUGUACAAAGCCAAGCGGCCGGCGCUAUUCUUGAUGUGGCAAAAAGUAGCUCCGCAGAGAAAUUCUAUGCAAAAGGUGAACGUCGUGAUGUUGAAUGCCUGUUGAAUGCACUGCAAAGUAAUUUGGAUGUGGUACGUGACGUUGCAUUGCGUUCGGUAACCACAAUGGUGAACAUUCUAAGCGAGUUUGAAUCCGACUAUGAAUUCAAUUUGUAUUUGAUUCGUCGUUUGUGGGUCGCCAAACACGAUGUAUCCGAAGAAAUCAAGCAGUUGGCAUGCGUUCUAUGGGAACAAGCCAAAUUUGAUGUUCCAAUUGUUAUGUGCGACGAACUAUUAAAAGAUGUCAUUCAUUCGGAGUUGUGCAUACAAAAGGCCGCCUCAAUGGCUAUUGUGUCGAUUUUGAAAGAGGAUCCAUCGCUGGUGGAAAACAUUCUCGAGCAAUUGUUGGAAAUUUACAGUGAAAAAACGAAAAUGAUUCCGGCACAACUGGAUCAAUUUGAACGUGAAAUCGUUCCGGCCAUUGAUCAAUGGGUACCAAGACGUGGUGUUGCAAUUGCCAUCUGUCAAAUUGCACCAUUCUUUUCAUUCAGUUUGGUGGAUCGUGUCAUUCAGUUUAUGGUAUCGAAAGGAUUGGGCGAUCGCGACGAAAUCGUUCACAAGGAAAUGCUUGCGGCCGCGCUCAACAUUGUUGAUUUGCAUGGAAAAGAAAGCAUUGGCAAAUUGUUGCCGGUGUUUGAACAUUUCUUGGAUAAAGCACCCAAAUCCAGCUACUAUGAUAAUAUUCGGCAAGCCGUUGUUAUUUUAAUGGGCUCAUUGGCACGGCAUUUGGAAAAAGAUGACGAACGUAUUCAACCAAUUGUUAAACGUUUAUUGGCCGCUUUAUCGACACCAUCGCAACAAGUGCAAGAGGCGGUUGCCAAUUGUUUGCCACAUUUAAUGCCAUCGGUUAAGGAUGAUGCCAACGCAAUGAUUAAGAAACUGUUAAAUCAACUGGUUAAAUCGGAAAAGUAUGGAGAACGUCGUGGUGCUGCCUACGGUAUUGCUGGCAUUGUAAAGGGACUUGGUAUUCUGUCACUGAAACAAUUGGACAUUAUGAAUAAGCUAACGCAGCACAUUCAAGAAAAAAAGAACUAUAAAUCACGUGAAGGGGCAUUGUUUGCAUUUGAAAUGCUGUGCACCACAUUGGGACGUUUGUUUGAACCGUAUAUCGUACAUGUUCUACCACAUUUGUUGCAAUGUUUCGGUGAUUCGAGUCAGUAUGUGCGUCAAGCAGCCGACGAUACAGCCAAAGUUGUUAUGGGCAAACUAUCGGCACAUGGUGUUAAAUUAGUUUUGCCAUCAUUAUUGAAUGCACUCGAUGAAGAUUCAUGGCGUACGAAAACCGCAUCCGUUGAACUGCUCGGUGCAAUGGCUUAUUGUGCACCAAAGCAAUUGUCAUCAUGUUUGCCUAGCAUUGUACCGAAAUUGAUUGAAGUGUUGGGUGAUUCACACACAAAAGUGCAAGAGGCUGGCGGCGAUGCGUUGCGUGUCAUCGGUUCGGUUAUUAAAAAUCCCGAAAUUCAAGCGAUUGUACCGGUUUUGUUGCGAGCACUGGAAGAUCCAUCGAAAAAUACAUCAAAAUGCUUACACAGUUUGCUUGAAACGAAAUUCGUUCACUUUAUCGAUGCACCAUCGUUGGCUUUGAUUAUGCCAGUCGUGCAGCGAGCAUUCAUGGAUCGAUCAUCAGAGACACGUAAAAUGGCCGCUCAAAUCAUUGGAAACAUGUAUUCGCUCACUGAUCAAAAGGACUUGACUCCAUACUUGCCGAACAUCAUUCCUGGUCUUAAAACAUCGCUAUUGGAUCCCGUACCCGAAGUUCGAGCUGUUUCAUCCCGUGCACUUGGUGCAAUGGUUCGUGGAAUGGGUGAAUCAUCAUUCGAAGACUUAUUGCCAUGGCUAAUGCAAACGCUUACAUCAGAAUCGAGCAGUGUGGAUCGUAGUGGAGCUGCUCAAGGUCUAUCUGAAGUGGUCGGUGGUUUGGGAGUGGAGAAAUUGCACAAAUUGAUGCCCGAAAUCAUUGCAACCGCUGAGCGUACGGAUAUUGCACCACACGUCAAAGACGGUUACAUUAUGAUGUUCAUUUACAUGCCGGGCGCAUUCCCCAACGAAUUUACCCCAUACAUCGGUCUCAUUAUCAAUCCAAUUUUGAAGGCACUGGCCGACGAAAAUGAAUAUGUUCGUGAUACCGCAUUGAAAGCCGGUCAACGUAUUGUCAAUCUCUACGCCGAAUCAGCCGUUACAUUACUGUUACCCGAAUUGGAAAAAGGUCUUUUCGACGAUAACUGGCGUAUUCGUUUCAGUUCGGUUCAAUUAUUGGGAGAUUUGUUAUAUCGUAUUUCUGGCGUGUCGGGUAAAAUGACCACCGAGACAGCGAGCGAAGAUGAUAAUUUCGGUACCGAACAAUCACACUCGGCCAUUAUUCGCUUCCUCGGAGCUGAGCGUCGUAAUCGCGUGCUGGCUGGUUUGUACAUGGGCCGAAGUGAUGUAGCAUUGAUGGUACGUCAAGCGGCGUUGCACGUAUGGAAAGUGGUCGUCACCAAUACACCACGAACAUUGCGCGAAAUUCUACCGACGCUUUUCAGUUUGUUACUCGGUUGUUUGGCCAGUACAAGCCACGAUAAACGGCAAGUGGCUGGUCGCACAUUGGGCGAUUUGGUGCGUAAACUCGGCGAACGUGUUUUGCCUGAAAUCAUUCCAAUUUUGGAGCGUGGUUUGAAUUCCGAUCAAGCCGAUCAGCGUCAAGGUGUUUGCAUCGGUUUGUCUGAAAUCAUGGAAUCAACAUCGAAGGAAAUGGUUUUGACAUUCGUUAAUAGUCUGGUGCCAACCGUACGCAAAGCAUUGAGCGAUCCAUUGCCAGAGGUAAGAAAAGCAGCCGCCAAAACGUUUGAAUCGUUGCACAAUACAGUUGGUUCGCGUGCAUUGGACGACAUUCUACCGUCAAUGUUGAACGGUUUGUCCGAUCCAGAUCCAAAAGUGGCUGAGAAUACAUUGGAUGGAUUGCGUCAAGUGAUGGCCAUCAAAUCAAGAGUUGUGCUACCAUACUUGGUGCCACAAUUGACGGCUCAACCAGUCAACACAAAGGCAUUGUCUAUUUUGGCUGCUGUCGCCGGAGAAUCGCUUACGAAAUAUUUGCAAAAGAUUUUACCCGCAUUGUUGCAAGCACUGUCUGAGGCUCAAAAUUCACCGACUGAAGCUCAAGAAACGGAAUACUGUCAAGCAGUUGUUCUAUCCGUUAGCGAUGAAGUGGGCAUUCGCACCAUAAUGGAUAUUCUGAUGGAAUCGACCAAAUCAAGCGAUACGAACACUCGUCGUUCAGCGGCUGUUUUAUUGUGUGCUUUCUGUACCCAUUCACCAGGCGACUACUCACAAUACGUACCACAAUUACUGCGAGGUUUAUUGAGAUUGUUGGCCGACAACGACAAAGAUGUCUUGAUUCGAUCGUGGGAGGCAUUGAGUGCAGUUAUCAAAACACUCGACUCGGCUCAACAAAUUGCUCACGUUUCCGAUGUUCGUCAAGCCGUUCGUUAUGCAGCCAGCGAUUUGAAGGCUGGCGAAGAGUUGCCUGGUUUCUGUUUGCCAAAAGGUAUCACACCAUUGCUACCAGUGUUCCGUGAAGCAAUUCUGAAUGGUUUGCCGGAAGAGAAAGAAAAUGCAGCCAUUGGAUUGGGCGAGGUAAUUUCAUUGACCAGUGCAUCGGCUCUUCAACCAUCUGUCGUUCACAUUACGGGUCCAUUGAUUCGUAUUUUGGGCGAUCGUUUCAAUGCAAAUGUCAAAGCGGCCGUCUUGGAAACAUUAGCCAUCCUUUUGCAUAAGGUUGGAAUUUUGCUGAAACAAUUUUUGCCGCAACUACAAACGACAUUCUUGAAAUCGUUGCAUGAUCAAAAUCGUAUUGUUCGAAUCAAAUCGGGCGUUGCAUUGGCCGAACUAGUGAAGAUUCACACCCGAGCCGAUCCACUGUUCAUGGAAAUGCACAACGGCAUCAAAGCCAAUGAUGAUUCCGGCGAAAGAGAGACUAUGCUUCAAGCAUUACGAGGACUCAUCACACCAGCCGGUGAUAAAAUGUCAGAGCCAUUGAGAAAGCAAGUUUACACAACACUUACGUCAAUGUUGGGCCAUCCGGAAGAUGUCACCCGAAGUGCGGUCGGCGGAUGCUUAGGCGCACUGUGCAAGUGGUUAUCAAAGGAACAAUUAAACGAUGCACUUACCAAUUACCUUCUGAAAGACGACCCCAACGAGGACUGGACUCUGCGCCAUGGCAAAUCUGCUGCACUCUUUGUUGCACUGAAACAAAGCCCAUCAAUCGUUUACACCGCCGAAUAUGAAGUGAAAAUCUGCAAAAUUAUUCCCACAAAUAUAACGUCCGAUAAAAUUCAAAUUGCCAGCAAUGCAAUCAGAGCAACCAGUUAUUUGUUUGAAUACUGUUUGAACGAAGAAAUGCCCAUACCGCAACAAGUGCUCACACCGUUUGUACGAUCGAUAAACCAUAGCAGCAAUGAAGUGAAACAAUUGCUUGUGAAAUAUUGUAAUUACUUGGCCAGAGUUGUAUCGGCGGAAAAAACGACACAAGAAUUCCUGCGGCCCGUCAUUCCAAUGCUGGUUAACGGUACAAAAGAGAAGAAUGGUUAUGUAAAAUCAAAUUCCGAAAUUGCAUUGAUUGCAAUCUUGCGAUUGCGUAGCGGUGAUGAUAUGCAUCAGAAAUGUUUACAGAUGUUGGAUAGCGGUGCCCGUGAUUCGCUAAAUGAAGUGGUGUCCAAGGUAUUGCGCAAAGUAGCAACCCAACCAAUCGGAAAAGAAGAAGAACUGGACGAUACACUUCUGUCUUGAUCCUGACAAUGCGCCACAAAUCAACGUCAAACACAUUCGAACAUUGAACUCAACAACAGCAAAUUGUUUCAUUUUAAAUCGUUAAAUCUGUGGAAUUGGCUGGCAGCCAGUGCAAACAUUUUUAUAAAACAAUUUUCGCAUCGAAUUGCUGCAUUAGUCAAUAGUCCAAAUAAUACAUUAAAAACCAGUUGUUGUUGAAUUUUUUUUUCUCGAAAAUUUUAGGACGCAGACGGUAAUAUUUCAUGGAAAAUGGAAAAUGAUGGUGAUUUUUUAAAAUUUGUUCUAUUUGUCCAACAUUAAUUAGGGUAAUUUUUAUAUUAAUCAAACAAAAAGUGCAUGGUAUCAAUGCAAAACCUACUCGAUCGUCCAUUAUCCAAGGCAAGGUAAAAGACAUUUGGCUCUUGAUGUAAAAUAGGUGAAAAAUAAAACAAAUCCAUUUACUUUCACAA